rnacentral:rRNA from 1 species
UGCCAGCAGUCGCGGUUACACUAAGAGAUCAAGUUAUAUAAUAUAGGUAAAAAGGCAGUUAAAUAUUAAUUAAAAUAUUAAUGUAUAAGACUGUUUAUUUAAAAGUAAAAUUUAUAUAUAAACACAUAUUUCAAUGUAAAUUAAUGAAAUUGAACCUGCGAAACCCUUGAGGGAAACUGGGAUUAGAUACCCCAUUAUUCUUGGAUGUAAAUAGAUGUAAGUCUACCAGAGUACUACGAAUUAAUUUAUAAAAUUUAAAACUCAAAGAGCUUGGCGGUGUUUUAGACCUUUCAGGGGAACCUGUCUCAUAAUCGACAGUCCACGUUAAACCUAGCCUUUAUUUGUAAAACAGUUUGUAUACCGUCGUCGUCAGGUAACUUUUUAGAAAAUAGAAGUUAGCAGUAAAAUUUAUAGUGAAUUUAAACGUCAGAUCAAGGUGCAGCUUAUAUAAAGGUGAGGAUGGGUUACAAUUAAUAUUUAUAAUACGGAUAAAUUAGUGAAGUCUAACUUAAUGAAGGAGGACUUGAAAGUAAAGAAAAUUAUAUGAAUAGUUUGAAUAUGGCUCUGAAACAUGCACACAUCGCCCGCCACUCU